CGCCUUUGUGUUGCCCAUUCAUUUUCACAUUCAUGAAUGUGGUGUCUACUAAGGCGCACAAUAAACCUUGAAAUAGCCAAAUUAAUGAGAGGACACAUGUUCCUCUUGCUUGUGCUAUGACAAGAACAAUG